GAUGAACGCUAGCGGCGGGCUUAAUACAUGCAAGUCGAGGGGUGGUAGCAAUACUACACCGGCGCACGGGUGCGUAACGCGUAUGCAAUCUACCUUUAUCUGGGGGAUAGCCCGGGGAAACCCGGAUUAAUACCGCAUAACAAAUUUCUUGGCAUCAAGAGAUUUUAAAAGAUUUAUCGGAUAGAGAUGAGCAUGCGUAAGAUUAGAUAGUUGGCGAGGUAACGGCUCACCAAGUCUACGAUCUUUAGGGGCUCUGAGAGGAGAAUCCCCCACACUGGCACUGAGAUACGGGCCAGACUCCUACGGGAGGCAGCAGUAGGGAAUAUUGGGCAAUGGGCGCAAGCCUGACCCAGCCACGCCGCGUGCAGGAAGAAGGCCCUCUGGGUUGUAAACUGCUUUUGACUGGGAAGAAAAGACUCCUUGCGAGGAGAGUUGACGGUACCAGCAGAAUAAGCCACGGCUAACUACGUGCCAGCCGCCGCGGUAAUAC
rnacentral:rRNA from 1 species